rnacentral:rRNA from 1 species
GAUGAACGCUGGCGGCGUGCCUAAUACAUGCAAGUCGAGCGAACAGACGAGGAGCUUGCUCCUCUGACGUUAGCGGCGGACGGGUGAGUAACACGUGGAUAACCUACCUAUAAGACUGGGAUAACUUCGGGAAACCGGAGCUAAUACCGGAUAAUAUAUUGAACCGCAUGGUUCAAUAGUGAAAGACGGUUUUGCUGUCACUUAUAGAUGGAUCCGCGCCGCAUUAGCUAGUUGGUAAGGUAACGGCUUACCAAGGCAACGAUGCGUAGCCGACCUGAGAGGGUGGUCGGCCACACUGGAACUGGGACACGGUCCAGACGCCUACGGGAGGCAGCAGUAGGGAAUCUUCCGCAAUGGGCGAAAGCCUGACGGAGCAACGCCGCGUGAGUGAUGAAGGUCUUCGGAUCGUAAAACUCUGUUAUUAGGGAAGAACAAAUGUGUAAGUAACUAUGCACGUCUUGACGGUACCUAAUCAGAAAGCCACGGCUAACUACGUG